GGCCUUAUGGUCUAGUCGUAUGAUUCUCCCUUUGGGUUAUGAAUUGGGAGAGGUCUCGGGUUCAAUUCCCGAUGAGGCCC
rnacentral:tRNA from 1 species